rnacentral:rRNA from 1 species
CCUACGGGCCGCACCAGUGGGGAAUAUUGCACAAUGGGCGCAAGCCUGAUGCAGCCAUGCCGCGUAUAUGAAGAAGGCCUUCGGGUUGUAAAGUACUUUCAGCGGGGAGGAAGGCGAUAAGGUUAAUAACCUUGUCGAUUGACGUUUCCCGCAGAAGAAGCACCGGCUAACUCCGUGCCAGCAGCCGCGGUAAUACGGAGGGUGCAAGCGGUAAUCGGAAUUACUGGGCGUAAAGCACACGCAGGCGGUCUGUCAAGUCGGAUGUGAAAUCCCCGGGCUCAACCUGGGAACUGCAUUCGAAACUGGCAGGCUAGAGUCUCGUAGAGGGGGGUAGAAUUCCAGGUGUAGCGGUGAAAUGCGUAGAGAUCUGGAGGAAUACCGGUGGCGAAGGCGGCCCCCUGGACAAAGACUGACGCUCAGGUGCGAAAGCGUGGGGAGCAAACAGGAUUAGAUACCCUGGUAGUC